UACGUAGGCGGCGAGCGUUAUGCGGAUUCAUUGGGUUUAAAGGGUGCGUAGGCGUCCCGGAAAGUUUCAGGUGAAAUGCUCAAGCUUAACUUGAGAGCUGCCUGAAAAACUGUCGGGAUUGAGUGCUAGCGAGGCAGGCGGAAGUGACGGUGUAGCGGUGAAAUGCAUAGAUAUCGUCAAGAACACCGAUAGUGUAGACAGCUUUCCAGGGAGCAACUGACGCUGAGGCACGAAAGUGUGGGGAUCAAACAGG
rnacentral:rRNA from 1 species